rnacentral:rRNA from 1 species
GAUGAACGCUGGCGGCGUGCCUAAUACAUGCAAGUCGAGCGAACAGACGAGGAGCUUGCUCCUCUGACGUUAGCGGCGGACGGGUGAGUAACACGUGGAUAACCUACCUAUAAGACUGGGAUAACUUCGGGAAACCGGAGCUAAUACCGGAUAAUAUAUUGAACCGCAUGGUUCAAUAGUGAAAGACGGUUUUGCUGUCACUUAUAGAUGGAUCCGCGCCGCAUUAGCUAGUUGGUAAGGUAACGGCUUACCAAGGCAACGAUGCGCAGCCGACCUGAGAGGGUGAUCGGCCACACUGGAACUGAGACACGGUCCAGACUCCUACGGGAGGCAGCAGUAGGGAAUCUUCCGCAAUGGGCGAAAGCCUGACGGAGCAACGCCGCGUGAGUGAUGAAGGUCUUCGGAUCGUAAAACUCUGUUAUUAGGGAAGAACAAAUGUGUAAGUAACUAUGCACGUCUUGACGGUACCUAAUCAGAAAGCCACGGCUAACUACGAG